rnacentral:lncRNA from 1 species
GCCACUUGAACGGGGAACUAGUUAGUAAGGUCCCCUGGGAAACUGCUUUUGAAGGUGUCAGCGUCCAUCAGUGCUGGUCAGUCUUCAAGCACUGCCUCCUAAAAGCACAGGAGCAGGCGAUUCCAAAAUGUCGGAAGUCAAGCAGGCGGGGCAGAAGGCCAGCUUGGCUGAGCAGGGAUCUUCUUCUAGAGCUUAGGCAUAACAAGAAAGUCUAUGGUUGCUGGAAGCAGGGUCAGGAGACGAGGGACGCUGUUCGCAUUUGUAGGGAGAAAAUUCGUGUGGUCAAAGCCCAAUUAGAGUUGAAGCUGGCCGGGUCUGUGGGAGACAGUAAAAAGGGCUUUUUUAAACAUGUGAACAGAAAAAGGAGGACCAGAGAAAACAUAGGUCUACUACUUGAUGGGGAAGGUCACCUCACAGACAAGGACAUAGGCAAAGCAGAGACAUUUAAUGCCUUCUUGGCCUCCGUCUUCAAUGCUGAUGAUGGGCUUCAGGAUCCUGGGUGCCCUGAGCUGCAGGACCAUGACGGUGGGAAUGAUAAACUCCCAACCGAUCCUGAACAUGUGCGGGAUUUGCUGCUCCACCUGGAUCCAUACAAGUCCAUGGGGCCUGAUGGGAUUCAUCCCAGGGUGCUUAGAGAGCUGGCUGACGUCAUCGCGGGACCUCUCUCAAUUAUUUUUCAAAGGUCUUGGGAAUCUGGAGAGGUCCCAUUGGACUGGAAGCUGGCAAAUGUUGCACCAAUUUUCAAGAAGGGCAAGAAAGAAGACCCUGGCAACUACAGGCCUGUCAGUCUCAUGUCAGUGCCUGGUAAAAUUAUGGAGAGGAUGAUCCUUGAAGUUACUGAAGUGCACCUGGGGGACAAUGCAGUCAUUAGUCCCAGUCAACAUGGGUUCACAAGGGGUAGGUCCUGCUUAACAAAUCUGAUUUUCUUUUAUGAUAAAAUCAGGCUGACGGCUAGUCACCAGUGAGGUGACCCAGGGCUCCAUUUUAGGGCCAGUUCUUUUCAGUGUUUUUAUAAACAAUUUGGAUGUAGGACUAGAAGGUGUUUUGAGUAAAUUUGCUGAUGAUACUAAACCGGGAGGAGCUGUUGACUCUGUUGAGGGUGGAAAGGCCUUGCAGAGAGAUCUGGACACAUCGGAGAGCUGGGCGAUCACCAACCUCAUGAAGUUUAACAAGAGCAAGUGCUGGGUCCUUCACCUGGGACGUGGCAACCCUGGC